UCAGGAGUUUUUUAACUUCCUCAGCUAUUGCCAUCUACCUUUCCAGAGCAUGACUUCAGAUUUUUUCCUUCGUCGGCUGAUGUUUGGGAUUAACAGCCAGGCGGUGUUCCAUGACUUCAGCAUCAAUCCCUGGCAUGUCUGUCGGAACCCAAGCGAAAACAUCCGUAUUCUUUCAUAAGAAAUUGAUGAGCUGUGUCCGCACCUCUUUCCUCAGGUUGGAGCCGAUCUUCACCACAUGCUCUUCAUUCCCAUCAUUCAAAGAAAUUGAGACAAGAUCUUCCAUUGGCUCACCCCGUU
rnacentral:lncRNA from 1 species